rnacentral:rRNA from 1 species
GAUGAACGCUGGCGGCGUGCUUAACACAUGCAAGUCGAACGGAUUUAACAGAAAGCUUGCUUUCGGUUAAAUUAGUGGCGGACGGGUGAGUAACGCGUGGAUAACCUGCCGUAUACAGGGGGAUAACACUUAGAAAUAGGUGCUAAUACCGCAUAAGCGCACAGUUUCGCAUGAGACAGUGUGAAAAACUCCGAUGGUAUACGAUGGAUCCGCGUCUGAUUAGGUAGUUGGUGGGGUAACGGCCCACCAAGCCGACGAUCAGUAGCCGGCCUGAGAGGUUGGACGGCCACAUUGGGACUGAGACACGGCCCAGACUCCUACGGGAGGCAGCAGUGGGGAAUAUUGCACAAUGGGCGAAAGCCUGAUGCAGCGAUGCCGCGUGAGGGAAGAAGGCCUUCGGGUUGUAAACUUCUUUUACCAGGGACGAAGGACGUGACGGUACCUGGAGAAAAAGCAACGGCUAACUACGUG